rnacentral:sRNA from 1 species
GCCGGGCGUAGUGGCGCAUGCCUGUAAUCCCAGCCACUUGCGAGGCUGAUGCAGGAGAAUUGCUUGAGCCCGGGAGGCUGAGGUUGCAGUGAGCAGAGAUCAUGCCGCUGCACUCCAGCCUGGGCAAAAGAGUAAGACUCUGUCUCGA